rnacentral:rRNA from 1 species
UACGGGGGGAGCAAGCGUUGUUCGGAUUUACUGGGCGUAAAGGGCGCGUAGGCGGUCAGUGCAAGUCAGUUGUGAAAUCUCCGGGCUUAACUCGGAAAGGUCAACUGAUACUGCUCGACUAGAGUGCGGAAGGGGCAACUGGAAUUCUUGGUGUAGCGGUGAAAUGCGUAGAUAUCAAGAGGAACACCUGCGGCGAAGGCGGGUUGCUGGGCCGACACUGACGCUGAAGUGCGAAAGCUAGGGGAGCAAACGGG